rnacentral:rRNA from 1 species
CAUGCAAGUCGAGGGCAGCGCGAGAGUAGCAUACUUUUGGCGGCGACCGGCAGAAGGGUGCGUAACACGUGAGCAACCUGCCCGUGACAGGGGGAUAACCGAUGGAAACGUCGCCUAACACCCCGUAACAACUUGGAGGGCAUCCUUUGAGUUUGAAAAUUCCGAUGGUCACGGAUGGGCUCGCGGGACAUUAGCUAGUUGGCGGGGUAACGGCCCACCAAGGCGACGAUGUCUAGGGGUUCUGAGAGGAAGGUCCCCCACACUGGAACUGAGACACGGUCCAGACUCCUACGGGAGGCAGCAGUGAGGAAUAUUGGACAAUGGAGGCAACUCUGAUCCAGCCAUGCCGCGUGAAGGACGAAGGCCCUAUGGGUCGUAAACUUCUUUUGUCGUAGAGCAAUAAGGUGUACGUGUACAUCGAUGAGAGUAUACGACGAAUAAGCAUCGGCUAACUCCGUGCCAGCAGCCGCGGUAAUACGGAGGAUGCAAGCGUUAUCCGGAUUUAUUGGGUUUAAAGGGUGCGUAGGCGGACGUAUAAGUCAGCGGUGAAAGGUACCGGCUCAACCGGUGAGCUGCCGUUGAAACUGUGCGACUGGAAUGCGGAUGCCGUGGGAGGAAUGUGUGGUGUAGCGGUGAAAUGCUUAGAUAUCACACAGAACACCGAUUGCGAAGGCAUCUCACGAAUCCGUUAUUGACGCUGAGGCACGAAGGCGUGGGGAUCAAACAGGAUUAGAUACCCUGGUAGUCCACGCGGUAAACGAUGAUGGCUAACUGCCGGCGAUACAUGGUCGGUGGCCAAGCGAAAGCGAUAAGCCAUCCACCUGGGGAGUACGACCGCAAGGUUGAAACUCAAAGGAAUUGACGGGGGCCCGCACAAGCGGAGGAACAUGUGGUUUAAUUCGAUGAUACGCGAGGAACCUUACCCGGGCUCGAACGGCUGAGGAAUGAAUUAGAGAUAAU